ensembl:lncRNA
CAGGCAGACAGGCAGGCAGACAGGCAGACAGGCAGGCAGGCAGGCAGACAGACAGACAAGCAGGCAAGUAGAAAGGCAGGAAGCAGACAGACACACAGAAACGCAGACACGCAAACAGACAGACAGGCAGGCAGGCAGUAAAGUAGAUAGGCAGGAAGCAGACAGGCAGGUAGGCAGGCAGGCAGGCAGGCAGGCAGGCAGGCAGACAAGCAGACAAGCAGACAGUCAGGCAGGCAAGCAGGCAGGCAAACAGGCAAGUAGAAAGGCAGGAAGCAGACAGGCACACAGAAAUGCAGACAUGCAGACAGACAGUCAAGGCAGGCAGGCAGACAGACAAGCAGACACGCAGACAGACAGUCAGGCAGGAAAGUAGAAAGGCAGGAAUCAGACAGGCAGACAGGCAGGCAGUCAGGCAGUAAAGUAGAUAGGCAGGAAGCAGACAGGCAGACAGGCAGGUAGACAGGCAGUCAGGCAGGAAAGUAGA